UACGUAGGGGGCAAGCGUUGUCCGGAAUCAUUGGGCGUAAAGAGCGUGUAGGCGGCUCGAUAAGUCUGCUGUGAAAGUCCAGGGCUCAACCCUGGAAGGCCGGUGGAAACUGUCGGGCUAGAGUCCGGAAGAGGCGAGUGGAAUUCCCGGUGUAGCGGUGAAAUGCGCAGAUAUCAGGAGGAACACCAAUGGCGAAGGCAGCUCGCUGGGACGGUAUUGACGCUGAGACGCGAAAGCGUGGGGAGCAAACAGG
rnacentral:rRNA from 1 species